UACAGAGACUGCAAGCGUUAUUCGGAUUCACUGGGCGUAAAGGGUGCGCAGGCGGCCAAGUGUGUUAGGCGUGAAAGCCUGGGGCUUAACCCCAGAAUUGCACCUAAAACUACAUGGCUAGAGCAUUGGAGAGGGUAGCGGAAUUCACGGUGUAGCAGUGAAAUGCGUAGAUAUCGUGAGGAACACCAGAGGCGAAGGCGGCUACCUAGACAAUUGCUGACGCUCAGGCACGAAAGCGUGGGGAGCAAAAGGG
rnacentral:rRNA from 1 species